GGCUCAGAACGAACGCUGGCGGCAGGCUUAACACAUGCAAGUCGAGCGCCUCGCAAGAGGAGCGGCAGACGGGUGAGUAACGCGUGGGAAUCUACCCAUCUCUACGGAACAACUCCGGGAAACUGGAGCUAAUACCGUAUACGUCCUUCGGGAGAAAGAUUUAUCGGAGAUGGAUGAGCCCGCGUUGGAUUAGCUAGUUGGUGGGGUAAUGGCCUACCAAGGCGACGAUCCAUAGCUGGUCUGAGAGGAUGAUCAGCCACACUGGGACUGAGACACGGCCCAGACUCCUACGGGAGGCAGCAGUGGGGAAUAUUGGACAAUGGGCGAAAGCCUGAUCCAGCCAUGCCGCGUGAGUGAUGAAGGCCCUAGGGUUGUAAAGCUCUUUCAACGGUGAAGAUAAUGACGGUAACCGUAGAAGAAGCCCCGGCUAACUUCGUGCCAGCAGCCGCGGUAAUACGAAGGGGGCUAGCGUUGUUCGGAAUUACUGGGCGUAAAGCGCACGUAGGCGGAUUGUUAAGUUAGGGGUGAAAUCCCAGGGCUCAACCCUGGAACUGCCUUUAAUACUGGCAAUCUCGAGUCCGAGAGAGGUGAGUGGAAUUCCGAGUGUAGAGGUGAAAUUCGUAGAUAUUCGGAGGAACACCAGUGGCGAAGGCGGCUCACUGGCUCGGUACUGACGCUGAGGGCGAAA
rnacentral:rRNA from 1 species